UUGUUCGCAAUGGGCGCAAGCCUGACGACGCAACGCCGCGUGGAGGAUGAAGAUCUUCGGGUCGUAAACUCCUGUCGAGUGGGAAGAACCGCUUCGGGGCUAAUACCCCCGGAGCCUGACGGUACCACUAAAGGAAGCCCCGGCUAACUCCGUGCCAGCAGCCGCGGUAAUACGGGGGGGGCAAGCGUUGUUCGGAAUUACUGGGCGUAAAGGGCUCGUAGGCGGCCGACCAAGUCGGAUGCGAAAUCCCCAGGCUCAACCUGGGAACUGCAUCCGAUACUGGCCGGCUCGAAUCCGGGAGAGGGAUGCGGAAUUCCAGGUGUAGCGGUGAAAUGCGUAGAUAUCUGGAGGAACACCGGUGGCGAAGGCGGCAUCCUGGACCGGCAUUGACGCUGAGGAGCGAAAGCCAGGGGAGCAAACGGG
rnacentral:rRNA from 1 species